CGCGGGGUGGAGCAGCUCGGUAGCUCGCUGGGCUCAUAACCCAGAGGUCGCAGGUUCAAUCCUGUCCCCGCUA
rnacentral:tRNA from 1 species